CCAAUCGAACCCGGAGAUAGCUGGUUCUCCUCGAAAUAGCUUUAGGGCUAGCCUCAUGAGAGUCUUAUGGAGGUAGAGCACUGAAUUGCCUAGGGGGCGUCAAAGCUUACCAAAGCAUAUCAAACUCCGAAUGCCAUCAAGAUGAUUCAUGGGAGUCAGACCAUACGAGAUAAGUUGGAUGGUCAAAAGGGAAAGAGCCCAGACCUACAGCUAAGGUCCCAAAGUACGUGUUAAGUGGAAAAGGAUGUGGGGAUUCUAAGACAACUAGGACGUUGGCUUAGAAGCAGCCAUUCAUUGAAAGAGUGCGUAAUAGCUCACUAGUCGAGAGUCCCUGCGCCGAAAAUGUCCGGGGCUGAAACACGACACCGAAGCUUAGGAAUGUGUAAACAUUGGUAGAGGAGCAUUGCUAGCGGGAUGAAGCCAUACCGUAAGGAGUGGUGGACUGCUAGGAAGAGAGAAUGCCGGAAUGAGUAGCGAGAUGAAGGUGAGAAUCCUUCAGGCCGAAUAUCUAAGGUUUCCAGAGUAAAGCUGAUCUGCUCUGGGUAAGUCGGGACCUAAGGCGAGGUCGAAAGACGUAGUCGAUGGAUAACAGGUUGAAAUUCCUGUACCGCAUAUAAACAGAACUGUGGGGACACAGACAGGGAAUGGAAUCCGGGAAUGGAUAUCCCGGUGCAAGCGAGGUAGGAGUGCUGUUGGCAAAUCCGCAGCACGAUCUGAAGACGUGACGCGUACCGAACAUAAGUAGGGAAGUCCAGGCCCCUGGCUGUCAAGAAAAGCCGCUAUUGUUUUAUAUGUGCCCGUACCGCAAACCGACACAGGUGGAUGAGGAGAGAAUCCUAAGGCCGACGGGAGAAGUAUUGUUAAGGAACUCGGCAAAAUGACUCCGUAACUUCGGGAGAAGGAGUGCCAUGAGAGUGGCCGCAGAGAAAUGGCCCAAGCAACUGUUUAGCAAAAACACAGGUCUAUGCAAAACCGCAAGGUGAAGUAUAUGGGCUGACGCCUGCCCGGUGCUGGAAGGUUAAGGGGAGAGGUUAGCGCAAGCGAAGCUUUGAACUUAAGCCCCAGUAAACGGCGGCCGUAACUAUAACGGUCCUAAGGUAGCGAAAUUCCUUGUCGGGUAAGUUCCGACCCGCACGAAAGGCGUAAUGAUUUGAGCGCUGUCUCGACAAUGCAUCCGGUGAAAUUGAAGUACCAGUGAAGAUGCUGGUUACCUGCGCCAGGACGGAAAGACCCCAUGGAGCUUUACUCCAGUUUGAUACUGGGAUUCGGCAUGGUAUGUACAGGAUAGGUGGGAGACUGAGAAGGUAUGACGUCAGUUGUACCGGAGUCGCUGUUGGGAUACCACCCUUACCAUGUUGGAUUUCUAACCUGUGGCCGUAAGCCGGUCAGGGGACAAUGUCAGGCGGGGAGUUUGACUGGGGCGGUCGCCUCCGAAAGGGUAUCGGAGGCGCUCAAAGGUUCCCUCAGAAUGGUUGGAAACCAUUCGAAGAGUGCAAAGGCAGAAGGGAGCUUGACUGCGACACCGACGGGUGGAGCAGGUACGAAAG
rnacentral:rRNA from 1 species